GGUCCCAUGGUGUGGCGGUUAGCACUCAGGACUCUGAAUACUGCGACGGGAGUUCAAAUCUCCCUGCGAUCU
rnacentral:tRNA from 1 species